AUGAAAUCUGCACAAUAGCACGAUGUCAGAAAUUUGCAGUAUGAACGAUGUAAUUCUUUGCCGGGGCAAUGCCUUUCUCGUGGAGUCAGCAUAGCUUUGCCCAUUUGAAGUCGAAUUUCCAUCUCUUCAAGUUGUUGUUGGGUCUAUCUUGAUUAAAGAGGAAGAUCCAAAGUUUUCUGUCGUAGUUGCACCCCAAAAGGCUCAGAUCAAAAAAGGGAAGAAAAAGAAAAAUCAAAAUCAAAGUCAAAAUGAAAAUGAAAAAAAUCAAAAAUAAAAAUAAAAAAAACAAAAAGAAGAAAGAAGAAAAAAUCAAAAUCAAGAUCAAAAUGAAAAUGAGAAAAAGAAAGAAGAAUGAAAAAAGAGAAACCUAGAUGAAAAAAUCAGAAUGAAAAAGAAAAGAAAAAGAAAAAGAGAGGCC
rnacentral:lncRNA from 1 species